rnacentral:rRNA from 1 species
UGGGGAAUAUUGGACAAUGGGCGAAAGCCCGAUCCAGCCAUGCCGCGUGUGUGAAGAAGGUCUUCGGAUUGUAAAGCACUUUAAGUUGGGAGGAAGGGCAGUAAGUUAAUACCUUGCUGUUUGACGUUACCGGCAGAAUAAGCACCGGCUAACUCUGUACCAG